rnacentral:rRNA from 1 species
GACGAACGCUGGCGGCGUGCUUAACACAUGCAAGUCGAACGGUAAGGCCCUUCGGGGUACACGAGUGGCGAACGGGUGAGUAACACGUGGGUGAUCUGCCCUGCACUUCGGGAUAAGCCUGGGAAACUGGGUCUAAUACCGGAUAGGACUCCGGACUGCAUGGUAUGGGGUGGAAAGCUUUUGCGGUGUGGGAUGGGCCCGCGGCCUAUCAGGUUGUGGGGGGGGUGAUGGCCUACCAAGGCGACGACGGGUAGGCGGCCUGAGAGGGUGACCGGCCACACUGGGACUGAGAGACGGCCCAGACUCCUACGGGAGGCAGCAGUGGGGAAUAUUGCACAAUGGGCGCGAGCCUGAUGCAGCGACGCCGCGUGAGGGAUGACGGCCUUCGGGUUGUAAACCUCUUUCAGCAUCGACGAAGCGAAAGUGACGGUAGGUGCAGAAGAAGGACCGGCCAACUACGUGCCAGCCGCCGCAGUAA